rnacentral:rRNA from 1 species
AGUGAACGCUGGCGGUAGGCCUAACACAUGCAAGUCGAACGGCAGCACAGUAAGAGCUUGCUCUUACGGGUGGCGAGUGGCGGACGGGUGAGGAAUACAUCGGAAUCUACUUUUUCGUGGGGGAUAACGUAGGGAAACUUACGCUAAUACCGCAUACGACCUACGGGUGAAAGCAGGGGAUCUUCGGACCUUGCGCGAUUGAAUGAGCCGAUGUCGAAUUAGCUAGUUGGCGGGGUAAAGGCCCACCAAGGCGACGAUCCGUAGCUGGUCUGAGAGGAUGAUCAGCCACACUGGAACUGAGACACGGUCCAGACUCCUACGGGAGGCAGCAGUGGGGAAUAUUGGACAAUGGGCGCAAGCCUGAUCCAGCCAUACCGCGUGGGUGAAGAAGGCCUUCGGGUUGUAAAGCCCUUUUGUUGGGAAAGAAAAGCAGCAGGUUAAUACCCCGCCGUUCUGACGGUACCCAAAGAAUAAGCACCGGCUAACUUCGUG